rnacentral:rRNA from 1 species
UACGAACCGUCCAAACGUUAUUCGGAAUCACUGGGCUUAAAGGGUACGUAGGCGGCGCUGUUAGUCGGGUGUGAAAGCCCUCGGCUCAACCGAGGAAUUGCGCCCGAUACUGCAGUGCUUGAGGGAGACAGAGGUAAGCGGAACUGAUGGUGGAGCGGUGAAAUGCGUUGAUAUCAUCAGGAACACCGGUGGCGAAAGCGGCUUACUGGGUCUCUUCUGACGCUGAGGUACGAAAGCUAGGGGAGCGAAG